rnacentral:rRNA from 1 species
AAUUUUGGACAAUGGGGGGAACCCUGAUCCAGCCAUCCCGCGUGUGUGAUGAAGGCCUUCGGGUGGUAAAGCACUUUUGACAGGGAAGAAACAGAACCGGCUAAUACCCAGUGCCAAUGACGGUACCUGUAGAGUAAGCACCGGCUCACUACGUUCCGGCAGCCGCGGUAAUACGUGGGUGGCAAGGCUUAAUCGGAAUUACUGGGCGUAAAGGGUAACGCGGAGGCUAGGAAAAAAGGAUGUGAAAACCCAGGGGUCAACCUUGGAACUGCAUUCUUAACUGCCUAGCUAGAGUAUGUCAGAGGGGGAUAGAAUUCCACGUGUAGCAGUGAAAUGCGUAGAUAUGUGGAGGAAUACCGAUGGCGAAGGCAGCCCCCUGGGAUAAUACUGACGCUCAGGUACGAAAGCGGGGGGAGCAAACAG